UACUCAAGUAAGGGCUGUGCUGGAGUAAUUGUCAGGACUUAAGCAACCUGGUCUAGUGGGAGGUGUCCCUGCCUAUAGCAGGGGGGUUGGAUCUAGAUGAUCUUUAAGGUCCCUUCCAACCUAAACCAUUCUAUGAUUCUCCUUCCCAUGGGGGAUUUGCAUAGAACUGUCUCUCUUACUACUGAGAACCUCUACACGUGCAGGAGUGCAUUACAGACAUCCAGUUCUACCAUGCUGGUUGUAUUUGAGGUGACCAAUGGGGGCACUGCUGUGCAACCCAAGCUUUCUUCUGCUCCUGGAGACCAAGAGCACCAUGCAACUCUUCUGAAGCUUGUUGUGCACGGGGUGGUGAGGCUAGAAGCAACGCUAGAAAUUAUGUUAACAGGAGUGGCACGUAGCUGACCUGCAUGGUAUUCACCAAUAGGCAGGAGCACAUUCUCCCCCAAGUUAAUAAUUUCUUAUCCCUUGGAUGACUCUGUAAAUACAUGUGCAGUACAGCUGGAGCUACAGAAGUACUAAAACAGUUUACAGUGAUGUUGGACAGUUAAUACACGGAAAAAUGCAGUGGAUAUCAGACACAAGAUCAUUCCCACGUCCAGCUGACAGCUUAGUGCCAGAAAUGCAGUGCUACUCAAUAGACUUUGGUGGACUUCUGCAGGCGCUGCUAAACCUGAUGGAGAUGGAGUGCACAGCAGACCGGUGUUGGCAUAGCUAAGUUCUAAGCAAGGAAAUGGACUUCUUGGAAACAGUGCUGAGGUAGUGAUGUCCGGUUUUCCCAGUUCUAACAGCUCCCAAGGUUUGCAGAUGCCUUCUGUAUUGGAUAUCGGGGUUGAACGUGCCUGUGCUACUAGGUUUUCUGUAACGGCUUGUACUUGGAGAAUCUCUUUCAAAAUCGGUGAGCAGGGUGCUCUUGUGCUGGACUAUGAGGAGUAACUUUCUACGAGUUUUGGAACUGUGCUGAUAUGGCACUUGGCAAGCUUUACCUGGGAGCAUCUCGUGCAGAGAACAUGAAGAGCAUAUCAGAGGUUAGAGGAUAAAGAAAAGCAGAAAUAUUUGCUCUUCUCCAGAUGCCUGUGACUCACAUGCUGAUGAGUGCCUGUUCUGCUUUAGCCUCCAAUGCAUCUUUUGAGGCCUGAUGUUCCAGGGAGGUCCUUGUGCUGCAUAUAUUUGAGAUCAAAGCCAGGACCUAUCAAAUGUGGAGGGGAAAAAAAGGAAAAGGAUGAGAAAGCAAGACUUGACUACAUGCAAUAGCAGAUAUGGCUGGAUGUAGAAGCAGAUCUGCAGAAAGAUAAAAAAUCUUCUGUGAAUAACUUCAGAGAGUUGCACGUCAACCUGCUCUGCAACACAAAUCACUACACUUCAUGGAGGAUGGGACAGGAGAAUAGCCAAAGGAAGUCGAUGAGGAUGGCUGUACUGGUGAGGAACUAAGGAGCUGACAUUACUUCAUCUGAAGAGAAAAGAAGACAAAGCACUCCUUGUAUGGUUAAAAAAAAAAAAGAGGCAGAAGCAUCAAAUGAAGGACUGUUUGAAUUGGAAAACUAAUGAGUAUUUCAGGUUAUUCAAAUCCACACUUAAUCUAACACUGGAAGCCGUUCCAGCAGCAGCAGCACCUUGAGGAGGACAUCGGGAGGAGGUCAGAGAGUGCUCAAACAUAAGAUUGAAGUCUGCCAAACAUGAUGUCCACCAAAUUUUUACUGCUAAAAAGUUGAGGUCACCCAAUGAGAAAUACAGAGACAGUAAGAUGAUCAAAAUACCUCAGGAGAAGAAUGAAUGAACAAUUUGAAAAAAAAAAAAAAAAGGGAGAAAAGCACUGUGCACUCCAACAACAGCAUCUUAAGUGCAAAACAUCAUUGUACAGAACUUUAUUACGAAGUGAUAAAUCAGCACGCUGAGGCUUCAUUAACUUCAGUGGAACCAGACUGAUUUAUGCCAGCUGAGUCAAUGGCUGCGUUUAUAUGUCUGCAUACGUCAAAAUUAAUCAUGUUUGGAAAAAUAGAAGAUUCUAGGAAUAUAUCCCAGAGGAGAAGAUAUAUAUACUUAUUUAUAAAUUCUACUAAUAAGGUGAUACUUAGCAGGCCUUUCUACAGGACUCUGAAUGACACAGCUGUCCUGAGGUGAACUUCUGCCCUCCUGCAUGGCAAGAAACAGAUAUGCACGUCCUCUGUCAGCACUCUCCAUCUCCAGCAUUCAGACUCCUGCAACCUUCCCACUGGUCCACAUCCUCACGCAGUCUUCCCAGUAAGGGGAAGAGAGCUGUAGAGAAUAGAAUAACCAUGGUUACUCCUACAUCGUCAGAAUUGGAAAGUAAUGUUAUCCAUGGGCUGAAGGAAGCUCAACCCUGCAGUCCAUUCUUCAAGCUCCUUCCCUACAAAUGCAGUGGGAGAGAUGUCAUUUGGGUGCCAAUGAGUUGUGUGCAUCAUAAAGGUGAUCACGUACCGAUUUCUUUUGGGAUCCACUCUAAAGAAAUGAAAGCUCAUUUUUUUCAGUUCAGAGCAUUUGCCAGUAGAUGGUGUGAGGAAUUUCUCCAAUCGCAGUGACACCAAAUGGUGCUGACAUCUGAAAAAAAAGCAGUGUUUUAUGACAGUAGCAAGAAUUACUUCUCCUUGUGAAUCUAUAUUCUGUCAUAGAGUUUACAAUUGCACUUGCUGAAAUGCUGUCAUUUUCAUUUAAACUAAAGGUCCUCUGCAGCAGGCAGCUCCACAAAGGGUCUCACCUCGUCAACAGCCAUUUCUUAGGAGUGUGAGAUUAGCAGAGCGGCAGCUGAAACAAAAGCUACCUGUUAAACACACUGAGGGUCAACUACAGGAGGAUGAUGCUAGAUGCUUCAAAAACAAGGCCUCAAGGUACACAGAAUAGAUGCAGAUUAUUAUUAAGAGUGACUGCAGCCCCGGUUUUCCUAAACCUCAGCUCUAGUGUCUAAAUCUGUCUUCCCAUUCCCCUUGUAAGAUAGCCAGAGCUGCUGGACUCUCCAACUAUUCAGAAGACUUUCAAACAUUACCUCUUCAUGAACACCUGAAAAUGCAAUACCUACAGGUAGCAGGCUUGGUUUUUCAGGUUGUGCAGCAUUUGGGAACUCUCUCUUGUUUCUGGGAUUACUAGUAGUUCAGAACUAAAUCAAGCUUCUGAUUUAAGUUUCUGAUGGUUAGGGUGAACGUGAAUGACUUUACACAACUUUAAUGGAAGAUAAACAGCAAAAUGACCCAGUUUGACACAAGAAAUGAAUUGAAGUUUAAAAUGACUCAGUUUCCAAAAGUUUUGUCGUGGAAUUUCUCUUUGUUACUGUUCCUGUAUUUGAGAGAAAUGUGGCACACAUAGAAGACUAGCAGCUAUUUUGGUCAGCAGUGCUUGAAAAAAAACCCAUCUACUUUCACAGUUUUAUUAGAAAUGGUAUCCUGAGAGACUGGAUUUGUAUUCUAUGUUUUUUUUUAGGCAAGGCUGCACUAUACCUGCAGUUUUGCUGGCAGAAUUUGCAUCAUUAAUUUAUGCAAACCAAAGGCAGUGAGGAAUCCAGAAACCAUUUUAAAAUGUGUGUAAGUCAGACAUUUAGAACUGAAACAUCCACACUCUUCCUAUAGCCUAUUGCUGCGUGACUUCUUUUCAGUUCCUUCUGGAGUGUGCCAGUAAUCUUUUCUUCUCUUUGGUAAGCCAGAGUAACCCAGUAUAUGAAAAAGUGCUUUGAAACAUCUGCUCUGAAUUUGUUUUUUAAUUAAUUAACAAGUAAAUGGUUUUCUGGUUGUGGUGAAUUAUGGCAACUUGUGUUAACAUAAUUUACCGUGUUAAAAAAUGUAAAGACUUCGAUUAUAGCAUGAUCUUUCUCCUCAGAUAAUUUUAAGAUGAUGUAGUUUCAACCUCUGUAGUUUCUCCUCAUUUUUAUAUGUUUUUAAUAUGAGAUUCCAGUUUAUUAACAGCUGCAUCACUUUACAGUGCUAACAGAUGCUAUUAUACAACCAGGCUAUGAGAACAGACUUCAGCACGCAGGUUUCAAUUUCCUUACCCUUAGUAACAGGGCUGCAGAAACCAAGAUGUACUCCCCUCCUUCUUUCAGUAUCUAAUACUUUAAUACUUGGCACUUAAUCUUUAUUACAGACACCAGUAAAGCAGAUGAGCAAAGUUAUUGUAAAGUCUUUUCAUACAGGAUUUAUCUUCUCUCCUUCACGUCUGCAGUCUGUCAUACAUCAAUUUGUGGUCAUAAG
ensembl:lncRNA